rnacentral:rRNA from 1 species
UACAGAGGGGGCAAGCGUUGUUCGGAAUUACUGGGCGUAAAGGGCGCGUAGGCGGCCUGCUAAGUCGAACGUGAAAUCCCCGGGCUCAACCCGGGAACUGCGUCCGAUACUGGCAGGCUUGAAUUCGGGAGAGGGAUGCGGAAUUCCAGGUGUAGCGGUGAAAUGCGUAGAGAUCGGGAGGAACACCCGUGGCGAAGGCGGCCAACUGGGAUACACCUGACGCUGAGGCACGAAGGCGUGGGGAGCGAACGGG